UGGGGAAUUUUGGACAAUGGGCGAAAGCCUGAUCCAGCAAUGCCGCGUGUGUGAAGAAGGCCUUCGGGUUGUAAAGCACUUUUGUCCGGAAAGAAAUCCUUGGCUCUAAUACAGUUGGGGGAUGACGGUACCGGAAGAAUAAGCACCGGCUAACUACGUGCCAGCAGCCGCGGUAAUACGUAGGGUGCAAGCGUUAAUCGGAAUUACUGGGCGUAAAGCGUGCGCAGGCGGUUUGCUAAGACCGAUGUGAAAUCCCCGGGCUCAACCUGGGAACUGCAUUGGUGACUGGCAGGCUAGAGUAUGGCAGAGGGGGGUAGAAUUCCACGUGUAGCAGUGAAAUGCGUAGAGAUGUGGAGGAAUACCGAUGGCGAAGGCAGCCCCCUGGGCCAAUACUGACGCUCAUGCACGAAAGCGUGGGGAGCAAACAGGAUUAGAUACCCUGGUAGUCCACGCCCUAAACGAUGUCAACUAGUUGUUGGGGAUUCAUUUCCUUAGUAACGUAGCUAACGCGUGAAGUUGACCGCCUGGGGAGUACGGUCGCAAGAUUAAAACUUAAAUGAAUUGACGGGGUCAUAGCUGUUUCCU
rnacentral:rRNA from 1 species